rnacentral:tRNA from 1 species
UCCCAGCUAGCUCAGAUGGUAAAGAGUCUGCCUGCAAUGCAGGAGACCCAGGUUUGAUCCUUGGGUUGGAAC